rnacentral:misc_RNA from 1 species
AUAUAUAUAUAUAUAUAUAAAUAUUUCAAAACGAGAUCCUCUCUCAAGUAAGAAUAUCAAAUAUCACUGAGAUAUAUCCAUAUGCCAAGUCUUUUGGGCUUUUGCCUAUGUCAUUUUGACAGAACCACAAAUAGAGCACAGGUUCCAAAUUCAAACGGAAGUCCUACACAUCAAAGCAUUUAUACAACAAAUCGAUAGGUUAUAUAUCGUCCUGCAGUUUCACUUGGCCUGAUGAUCUUCACGACUUGCCCCCGCUUCAGCCCAAAAUAUCUAGCAAUUGGGUCAGAUACCUGAAUGCGAGGCAACUGUACAAUCACAAUAUAAAAUCAGAUGAUACAGCACCAUCAACAGAAUGACAUAUAUGCAUAUAUGCCAUUGAAACCCCUUCAACCCAGUGCCACAAAUGGAAAGCAAGCCUUGAAGAUUAUGUAAGAUCCUACCAAGCCAUGAACCUAAACACACUCCACCUUAACUACACAAAACAUUCUGACAAAUUUUCUUUAUAUAUGAUCGUUUACCAUUUUAUUUCAUGCAUCCAAUGAUUCCCCAGGUCAUAUGGUUAUAGCAAAACCAUCUGUUUCCUUGGCUUCAAGCCAAUGGUUGCAAACAUACAAUAUCAUGUCCAUAAAUCCCCCAAUCUAAACACAAUCAUCAAAAUGCAAACAAAAGAAUGCAGCCAAAAUCAGUGAAAAAAUAUCAGUGCAAUAUUAAGAUUCCCCUUGCCUGUGUUUCUUUCACAGUGUAUCUCUCCAACAAUGUCUUCUUCUCUUCACUUGUAAGCACCUGAUGCUCAGGUACAAGAACAUGUUCUUUAAUGUUGACCAAAAGUUCAGCCUCCUGGAAGACCUCCAAUUGGAAUUUAGCAGCUAUCUCAGAUAUACACGUUCGAGCAAAAGGAGUCAAAUUCUGUUGAACAACCAAUAUUGCUCUAAAAACAUUCUCAGACUUCAUGCGGUUGGUAUAAGUCUUCAUUGUCUUGACUCCAACCUUCUGUUCCUCAGGAAAGAAAACAUAAAUCUGAUCAGAGGCAUCAUUGCGCUUUGAUUUGUUGAUAACAAGAUCUUCCCUUUUCAUGUUCUCACCAAAUUUCGAAAUGAACUGCUCCCUUGUCAUGUUGAUCUCAAAGUCUCCAACAAAAUAACCCCUAUCCUUGAGCAUUUGCAUUACCGUCUUUCGAAUUCUGAAAAGCCUCUUAAUUUCAUCCUCCGAUAGAGUCAUUUUUUCGCUGGGAGGGGAUUUCUUCUUUGCAGCGUAGGAUGAGCAGCGGCAAAGGAGUUGCAGGCGAGAAACUCCAGGCGACGGUUUCCUGUGCUGCAGCUACAAUGAUGGGCGAGACCAAAAGAAAGAGGAGGAAAAGAUGAGGGAUUCUGUGCAAUGCAGAGACAACGACUCGGUGAUAAUAAGAGGGAAGAGCUGCUGACUGAGGGAUUAGGUUUACAAUGCUCAGGAUUAAACGACGUAGCAAUAGCGAUCAAGCUUUAAAUAAGGUUAGAGGACUUUUUCGGUAUUUCGUUAUUUUGAUGAGCCGACUUUCGAAUUUUG